AUUGAACGCUGGCGGCAGGCCUAACACAUUCUAGUCGUGCGAGCGGCGGACGGGUGAGUAAUGUAUGGGGAUCUGCCUGAUGUCGGGGGAUAACUACUGGAAACGGUAGCUAAUACCGCAUACCAUCAGAUGUACCCUUAUGGGAUUAGCUGGUAGGUAGGGUAUCGGCUUACCUGGGCGACGAUCCCUAGCUGGUCUGAGAGGAUUAUCAGCCACAGUGGGACUGAGACACGGCCCAGACUCCUACGGGAGGCAGCAGUGGGGAAUAUUGGACAAUGGGCGCAAGCCUGAUGCAGCCAUGCCGCGUGUAUGAAGAAGGCAUUCGGGUUGUAAAGUACUUUCAGUCGUGAGGCGUUACCGACAGAAGAAGCACCGGCGAAGUCCGUGCCAGCCGCCGCGGUAAUUC
rnacentral:rRNA from 1 species